GUCUAUGUCACUAAGAGGUAAUUCACCCUGGUGACACACGACACUCUUCUCCUGUACCUAUUCCCUCCUGAGUCAAAGGAAGAGGCACCUCUCCUCUGUUUCCUCCCUGCUGUGCUCUGGACCCGCUCCCUCCAUCCUCCCUCUGGAUCUCACCUCAUCAAUUACCUCCUCUGGUCCACUCUCUCCAGCAUUUACUGGGUGCCUGCUGACUGCAAGACCUGUGUGGAUGGAGGUGUUGCUGAGAGACCAAGACAAAGAAGCAUGUGUGUAGUUCAGAAGUGGUGCAGUGACAGGGCUCACUGUCAAUAAGGCAAGAGCGUGGUCUCGGAAGGCUUCACAGAGAGGAUGGCCUGGUGUGGGGUCUGGAAGAAAGCUGGGAGUUUGCCAGUGUGAUGGUGACAAGAAUAGCAGGAGAGCACCCAGACCCUCAUCAACCGGCCCGCUGGGCAGACCUGCCUUCUCUCUGGCUCCUUCCCACCCUGACGCAGGGUUGCUGUCCCUCCUGGCCAUUUCUCUGGGAGAACUGUUGAGGCCCACCUCCCUUAUGCUCCACUGUACCUGCCCAGGUCAUUGAGAAAGCCCUCGGAACGCCUCCCAUGUAUUGGUCAACAUGCCUGAUUCUCCCUAUUA
rnacentral:lncRNA from 1 species